rnacentral:rRNA from 1 species
UGGGGAAUAUUGGACAAUGGUCGCAAGCCUGACCCAGCCAUGCCGCGUGAGUGAUGAAGGCCCUAGGGUUGUAAAGCUCUUUCACCGGUGAAGAUAAUGACGGUAACCGGAGAAGAAGCCCCGGCUAACCUCGUGCCAGCAGCCGCGGUAAUACGAAGGGGGCUAGCGUUGUUCGGAUUUACUGGGCGUAAAGCGCACGUAGGCGGACUUUUAAGUCAGGGGUGAAAUCCCGGGGCUCAACCCCGGAACUGCCUUUGAUACUGGAAGUCUUGAGUAUGGUAGAGGUGAGUGGAAUUCCGAGUGUAGAGGUGAAAUCCGUAGAUAUUCGGAGGAACACCAGUGGCGAAGGCGGCUCACUGGACCAUUACUGACGCUGAGGUGCGAAAGCGUGGGGAGCAAACAGG